UACGUAGGGGGCUAGCGUUGUUCGGAAUCAUUGGGCGUAAAGCGCGCGUAGGCGGCCCGGUAAGUCCGCUGUGAAAGUCCAGGGCUCAACCCUGGAAAGCCGGUGGAUACUGCCGGGCUAGAGUCCGGGAGAGGCGAGUGGAAUUCCUGGUGUAGCGGUGAAAUGCGCAGAUAUCAGGAGGAACACCAAUGGCGAAGGCAGCUCGCUGGGACGUGACUGACGCUGAGACGCGAAAGCGUGGGGAGCAAACAGG
rnacentral:rRNA from 1 species